CGGGGGUGGCAUACGAGGUGAGUAACGCGUGGGAAUCUACCCAAUUCUACGGAGCAACUGAGGGAAACUUCAGCUAAUACCGUAUACGCCCUACGGGGGAAAGAUUUAUCGGAAUUGGAUGAGCCCGCGUUGGAUUAGCUAGUUGGUGGGGUAAUGGCCUACCAAGGCGACGAUCCAUAGCUGGUCUGAGAGGAUGAUCAGCCACACUGGGACUGAGACACGGCCCAGACUCCUACGGGAGGCAGCAGUGGGGAAUAUUGGACAAUGGGCGCAAGCCUGAUCCAGCCAUGCCGCGUGAGUGAUGAAGGCCUUAGGGUUGUAAAGCUCUUUCAGUGGGGAAGAUAAUGACGGUACCCACAGAAGAAGCCCCGGCUAACUUCGUGCCAGCAGCCGCGGUAAUACGAAGGGGGCUAGCGUUGUUCGGAUUUACUGGGCGUAAAGCGCACGUAGGCGGAUCGUUAAGUCGGGGGUGAAAUCCUGGAGCUCAACUCCAGAACUGCCUUCGAUA
rnacentral:rRNA from 1 species